UACAGAGGGUGCAAACGUUGUUCGGAAUUACUGGGCGUAAAGCGCGUGUAGGCUGCUCGGAAAGUCGGAUGUGAAAGCCCUGGGCUCAACCUAGGAAGUGCAUUCGAAACUACCGAGCUGGAGUUCUGGAGAGGAAGGCGGAAUUCUCGGUGUAGAGGUGAAAUUCGUAGAUAUCGAGAGGAACACCGGUGGCGAAGGCGGCCUUCUGGACAGUGACUGACGCUGAGACGCGAAAGCGUGGGGAGCAACA
rnacentral:rRNA from 1 species